UACGGAGGGGGCGAGCGUUAUUCGGAAUUAUUGGGCGUAAAGGGCGCGUAGGCGGCUGUACAAGUCAAAGGUGAAAUCCCUCGGCUCAACUGAGGAACUGCCUUUGAAACUGUACGGCUUGAGGCCGGGAGGGGGUAGCGGAAUUCCCAGUGUAGCGGUGAAAUGCGUAGAUACUGGGAGGAACACCAGUGGCGAAGGCGGCUACCCGGACCGGUUCUGACGCUGAGGCGCGAAAGCGUGGGUAGCAAACAGG
rnacentral:rRNA from 1 species